rnacentral:lncRNA from 1 species
CAAGGGGCUGUGUAAGGGCAGCUCAGUUGCCCUCUCGGUUUGGUAAUUAAAAGCUGGAGAGCACUCACCUGUGUCCACACUGGGUUUUACCAAGCAGUUCUGUAGCUGGGAGGGAUCUGGCAGAUUCCCAGGUUUACCUGCUGCCUGAGCAGCUCUGCUGGUGUCAGACUGUGCCUCCAGACAGGAUCCAGCAGCACUGGCAUUCCUGCACCUCCUCCCCAGCCACACUUCCAGGGCUGCCUCCCAAACCGAUGGCAAAGGAGAAGUCAAACUGAGGGAAUUUCAGAAAACAAUGGCAGAUGCUCAAACAAAAAUCCAUGGCCAGCUGGUUAAGAAGGAGAAAGGCACUUUUCAGAAUCCUAAACCUACAGCUGAGGAUGCUGGCCUAGGGAGAGGCAGGAUAUUUAUCUGACCAAGAUCCACUGGAAAAAUCCAAGCACUGCAGCAAAAUCAGCCAAGUCAAAACACCAAUCCCUUGAAAUCUCUUCUCCAGUAGUGUGGAUGUUCCAGGAAAAGCAUCUCAGCCCUCUGUGAGCUGUUUCAUUCCUUUAUUGCAAAGGCUACAUGUAUUUCCCCUACCCUACCUUGAAAUGUCUCGUUCCUGUCUUUGAUUUCAGCUGGUUCAACCUGACACCCUUUUUUCCCCCCACCAAAAGCAGUUUACUCACUGCUGAGCUAAAAAGCCUGCUGUGACACGAGCACCACUCUUUAUACUAAAAACCAGAGAUGUGGAGAAUGGCAUUAAGCAUGGCAAGAGCUUGAGAUGCUGGGAAUAAUAUUCAAAGAACAGCAACGUGAGAAGUUCGAAGCUGCCAAUGGAAACAAAGGGAGCAGCAAGAAAGGAGACUGUAGAAAAUGUCUUGUCAGUGACUCCUGGCCUGGAAUGGAAUCCCUAGGUUAGGAAAGGCAAGAGGCAGAAAACAUCUCCCUGGAUGUGAUGGCAGUGGCAGUGCCAGACUGGACCCAUGCUGACAACCAGCUUGCAACACAGAAGGCAACCUCUUAAUAAACACUAAACCCUUCUAACCUGAAAGAUUGCA